AAUUCUUGUUCUGCAGUCAACUAGUCGGUAAUACUAGUAAUUUUUUUUUGUAAUUUUCUCAUUUUGUUGCCUACUAAUAUUUUUUUUCGUCUUAAGAUGGAUUACUUGUAUGGACCAACACCUUCGUGCUGCGUCGACUCCGAGCCGAUCGAUGGAGAACUACUUUGGGGCGAGUGCAACCGACAUCGAACCGGUGAAAUUUUCGACAAUGAGAUUGAUACCAUUUGAAUAAUGGUUAGAGAAUAUUAAUAACGACCUAGUGUUAAAUAAUAUUAGUAAUUGCCUAUACCUAAUAUUAUAUUAGCUAAUGUACAUACAUUCAUAUUGUUUAAAAAUAUUAUUAUUUGAUCAUGCCGAAUGUUAGAAAACAGGUGAUCCGAUUUCACUUAGAUAGCUCUCAAUCAGCUUGAUCUAAAUUGCUCAUGAAUUAACUCGAUAAGGUAUUUGAGCCUACUCGAUGUUGUUGCUCACCAGACAGGUCAAAUUUUUGUAGCUCGUUAGCGCUCGAACAAUACAACACCGGGAACAGAAUUAGGAAGUAGAAUCCUAAUCUUAAGGCUUUCUUAAUUAAUAAUUAAUCAACACCACAAAUUAACCUUUUCUUCUUCUUCUUCUCUUUCUCUCUCACACACACACUCUCUCACCCUAAAAAAUUUCAAACAUUUUUUCUCUCCUCUUCUACUCACCGGCGAUCCGGCCUAAUUUAUUCCUCGGUCAGGGAAUUGGGCGGGGGGAGACCUGAAAAGGAAAAAGAAAAUUAACUUCAUCUCCCUUCCUCCUCCAUCAGGACCCUUUCCGGCCACCUCCCACCAUCGCCACAUUCACCAUUUCCGCCACCACCGUAUCAUGAAAUUAUUUGAUCUCAUUACAUUCCCACCCAGAUCUAUCUCUGCAUCAUCAUCAGAUCCUUCUCUCGAAUCAUCCUCACCGACAUCUCAGCCGCUGUCGAAUCUCAACGUCACGCGCCCCCGCCUCCGUCUCCAUCNNNN
rnacentral:lncRNA from 1 species